GUCUACAGCCAUACCACCCUGAACGCGCCCGAUCUCGUCUGAUCUCGGAAGCUAAGCAGGGUCGGGCCUGGUUAGUACUUGCAUGGGAGGAUAUGAAGGUGAAAGCU
rfam:Pan troglodytes isolate Yerkes chimp pedigree #C0471 (Clint) chromosome 2A, whole genome shotgun sequence.